AGCGAACGCUAGCGGAAGGCAUAAUACAUGCAAGUCGAACGGAUGUAGCAAUACAUUAGUGGCGCACGGGUGCGUAACGCGUAUGCAACCUACCUUCAUCAGGGGGAUAACUACCCGAAAGGGUGGCUAACACCGCAUAAUACUAUUGAGUGGCAUCACUUGAUAUUUAAAUCUGAGGAGGAUGAAGAUGGGCAUGCGUCUGAUUAGCUAGUUGGUGUGGUAACGGCGCACCAAGGCGACGAUCAGUAGGGGAACUGAGAGGUUGGUCCCCCACACUGGCACUGAGAUACGGGCCAGACUCCUACGGGGGGCAGCAGUAGGGAAUAUUGGUCAAUGGUGGGAACACUGAACCAGCCAUUCCGCGUGCAGGAAGAAGGGUCUCUGACUUGUAAACUGCUUUAGCAAGGGAAGAAAAAGCUCAUGCGUGAGAAAUUGACGGUACCUUGAGAAUAAGCACCGGCUAACUACGUGCCAGCAGCCGCAGUAAUAC
rnacentral:rRNA from 1 species